AUUGAACGCUGGCGGCAGGCCUAACACAUGCAAGUCGAGCGGAUGAAGGGAGCUUGCUCCCUGAUUUAGCGGCGGACGGGUGAGUAAUGCCUAGGAAUCUGCCUGGUAGUGGGGGAUAACGUUCCGAAAGGAACGCUAAUACCGCAUACGUCCUACGGGAGAAAGCAGGGGACCUUCGGGCCUUGCGCUAUCAGAUGAGCCUAGGUCGGAUUAGCUAGUUGGUGAGGUAAUGGCUCACCAAGGCGACGAUCCGUAACUGGUCUGAGAGGAUGAUCAGUCACACUGGAACUGAGACACGGUCCAGACUCCUACGGGAGGCAGCAGUGGGGAAUAUUGGACAAAGGGCGAAAGCCUGAUCCAGCCAUGCCGCGUGUGUGAAGAAGGUCUUCGGAUUGUAAAGCACUUUAAGUUGGGAGGAAGGGCAUUAACCUAAUACGUUAGUGUUUUGACGUUACCGACAGAAUAAGCACCGGCUAACUUCGUG
rnacentral:rRNA from 1 species